UACGUAGGGGGCGAGCGUUAUCCGGAUUUACUGGGCAUAAAGCGCGCGUAGGUGGUAUCUUAAGUCAGAUGUUAAAUGCCUUGGCUUAACCAAGGUCCGCAUUUGAUACUGAGAUUCUAGAGAUCAGGAGAGGAAAGCGGAACUCACGGUGUAGCGGUGAAAUGCGUAGAUAUCGUGAGGAACACCAGUUGCGAAGGCGGCUUUCUGGACUGAAUCUGACGCUAAGGCGCGAAAGCGUGGGGAGCAAACGGGAUUAGAUACCCCGGUAGUCCACGCUGUAAACGGUGUUCACUAGGUGUGGGAGGUAUCGACCCCUUCCGUGCCACAGAUAAUUCGUUAAGUGAACCGCCUGGGAAGUACGACCGCAAGGUUA
rnacentral:rRNA from 1 species